rnacentral:rRNA from 1 species
UACGAAGGGGGCUAGCGUUGCUCGGAAUCACUGGGCGUAAAGGGUGCGUAGGCGGGUCUUUAAGUCAGGGGUGAAAUCCUGGAGCUCAACUCCAGAACUGCCUUCGAUACUGGAGAGCUUGAGUCCGGGAGAGGUGAGUGGAACUGCGAGUGUAGAGGUGAAAUUCGUAGAUAUUCGCAAGAACACCAGUGGCGAAGGCGGCUCACUGGCCCGGUACUGACGCUGAGGUGCGAAAGCGUGGGGAGCAAACAGGG